UUUAUUAACCCUUAUCGGCUGCUACCAUAAAGGGGUGAUGGUUUAAUAGAAUAUUCCUCAGUUCAUACGUCGCGUCUACCCUAAGUUCGCCUACAAUUUUCCAACCUCUGUGGAGAUAUGCCGCCGCCACCGAUCAUGUUUCCUCUUCUAUAGAAAGUUAUAUCUAACUGUCGACGUAAUAUCUCCAAGCCCGUUUCAGUCCUUCUCGAAAGGCGCCAAUAUCCAUCGAGCAGACCUGCCCACUUUCCCUAUACCCCUUAGCUCCAAUGGCACCAGACGACUCACCAAUGACUAGUACCAGCACCAGCUCCGAUGACGAACCCGUCGAAAGCCUUGUGGAGGGACGAGCCCGGCGGAGCACCGCGGGCAAGAACAUGGGUGCGCUUCUUGAUGCAGAGGCCGACGACGAACUCGCCCUCCUGUUCGCGGAAGAAGAAGAUGAUGAAGAAUUCACAAGUGGCGAUGAAGAUGCUGCGGGGGAGGAAGGUGAAGUUGCUGAGGAUGAAGUGGAUGACAUGCAACUUGAUUCUUCAUCAGAUGACGAAGAUGACCGGGGCCCUAAUGCGCAGGAGGAUGAGUUAGAAGGAGAGAAGGAGCUCGAGAGACAGGCUAGAGCGGAGCGGCUGGCGAGGAAGCGGAAGGAGCAGGACAGUAUGAUGAAGAUUCCGGCGUUUCGGAAAAGGGUGAAGAUUGACCCGACCGCGACGAAGGAGGCCAGUGAGACUGGGGGUGUGCAGCCGCGCCCUAAGAAGAAAUCGGAGCGGGUAUCGUGGUUGCCGGCGCCAGAGGAUGGUCCAACUCGUUCCUCGUCUAGAAGGCAGACGAUGCAGAACAAGGAGCUCACGCACGCGAGGUUAAAGGAUAGUGAACAGAGGCGAGUGAGACUGAUAGCGACGAUGGAGGAGGCCGCAAGGCGCAAGGAGAAAUUGAAACCGAAAGUGAUGACGCAGCAGGAGCGAUUGGCGGAGGCAGCAAAGACGGAGCGGCUGAAUAGUAAGAGCUUGAACCGGUGGGAACAGAUGGAGAGAAAACGAAGUGAGGAGCAAAAGGCGAAAUUAGCAGCGUUGCAGAAUCGCAGACUGGAAGGCGCUGUUGCGACAUGGUGGAGUGGACUUGCGAAAUGGGUUAAUGGGAAACUGACACAGGUCGGUACGAAGGAAAUUAGACGGGUGCCGGAGGUGGAGAAGAAAAAAAAGGGUGUUAAGGAUAAUGAUCAUUCUCCUAGGAGGGGGAAAUCUAAGAAGAUGGACAGGGUUGGGGAAGAAGGUGGUGGUAAAACUAUCCCACCACUUCAGGAAAAAAGUCCAGAUACGCCGGCUGGGAAACCGGCAGUAGAGGGGCAAACGCAGGAAACGAAGAAAGAUUGCCCACCGGAACAGCAGAUCACUUUUACAUCGCCGCAAGAGCCAUCAAAUUUUUUGGAUGGGAUUCAUAUUUACGCCGCUAUGAAAGAUGAUACAGCGCAGGUGUCUGCUAUAUCUGGCCAAACGCCAUCUUCUACGCAGGCACAACCAGUACCGGGACCAGUACCUGAAGCAUCAAAAUCCUCGACAGUGCCUGAACCACCCUCAAAAACUCCACCGUCUCAAUCAAUAUCAAUGGAAGGAACAUCAAUGACUGAAGCGAUCCCGGAAUCUUCUGAAGUCACGUCGAAGGGAUCGGGAUCGACCCUGCUGCCAACCAAACCAGAGAAUCAAGAAUCCCAGAAGCUAUUUCCGCGGAUAGAAAUGGUAACUAGGUCUGAAGGAAACCCAACAGCAGCAGCAGCAGUGGCAUCACCAUCGUUAUUACAGCAGCAAAAGGACAACCAACCCGGACCACCAACCAUACAUAUCGAUGAGAAUAUCAGAGAUGCUCAAGAUCAGCGGACACAGAUUCAGAUGCAAUCUGAAUCAAAAUCUCCGCUCACACACCCUCCUACCGCCCAACCACUAGAAGCUCAACCAGAACAAUCACAACUCCCUAUACCUACACCACCUCCAACGAUCGAAUAUUCAUCCCGUAACCUGCUAAUCCUCGAAAGCUUCGAAAAUAAAACCCCACAAGAACGAGAAGAAUUUAACAUAUUCUUCAACUCUCGCAAACCGCAAAAGCUACAAAAAAUCACCCAAGAACUCUGUCCCAUAACCUCCCGUCCAGCCCAUUACCGUGACCCAGAAACAAAGCUCCCGUACGCCAACGCCGUUGCGUACCGCGAGAUCCGCCAGACGCUGGCCAAUCGGUAUGCGUGGAGUGGGUUGCUAGGAUGUUUUGUAGGGCCUAUCGGGGUGGGCGCUAGGGGGGUUCCUGAGAGGUUUUUGGCGCCGAAUGCACCACCACCGCCGACUGCGGUUUUGGUGGGUGACGACGGCAGUGGCGGUGGAACAGUGGGUGAAAGCGGCAGCGGGAAUACGAGGAGCGCAGGUAAGAGUAGGGUUGGGGAUGAAGUUGAAGGGGGGUGACAAGUGUAUUUUACUGAAUUUUGAUAUCCCAAAUUUUUAAUUUAAUUUUAUUUUAAUUUUUGUUUUUCCGCCACUUUCCAUUCGCCCAUUGAUUGAACAUUCCCGUUUUGAUCUCUUUCCUCAACCUUACCUUGCUUGCAAGUUAAAGUACCUACCAAUACAGUUCUUUGUCUGGCCAGAGUUAACCUCAUCUUGGCUUUUCCUCGAAUCG
rnacentral:sRNA from 1 species